CGAACGAAGCGCCUGCGGCGGACCCCUCCGGGGGAAAGCCGCGGGGGACUGAGUGGCGGACGGGUGAGCAACGCGUGGGCAACCUGCCCCGUACCGGGGGACAACAGCCGGAAACGGCUGCUAAUACCGCAUAUUCCCGCGGGGCCGCAUGGCCCUGCGGGGAAAGCUCCGGCAGUACGGGAUGGGCCCGCGUCUGAUUAGCUUGUUGGCGGGGUAACGGCCCACCAAGGCUGCGAUCAGUAGCCGGCCUGAGAGGGCGGCCGGCCACAUUGGGACUGAGACACGGCCCAGACUCCUGCGGGAGGCAGCAGUGGGGGAUAUUGCACAAUGGGGGGAACCCUGAUGCAGCGACGCCGCGUGAACGAAGAAAUAUUUCGGUAUGUAAAGUUCUAUCAGCAGGGAAGAAAAUGACAGUACCUGACCAAGAAGCCCCGGCUAACUACGUGCCAGCAGCCGCGGUAAUACGUAGGGGGCGAGCGUUAUCCGGAUUCACUGGGCGUAAAGGGAGCGCAGGCGGCACGGCAAGUCCGGUGUGAAAGCCCGGGGCCCCAACCCCGGGACUGCACUGGAAACUGCCGGGCUGGAGUGUCGGAGGGGCAGGCGGAAUUCCUAGUGUAGCGGUGAAAUGCGUAGAUAUUAGGAGGAACACCGGUGGCGAAGGCGGCCUGCUGGACGACGACUGACGCUGAGGUUCGAAAGCGUGGGGA
rnacentral:rRNA from 1 species